rnacentral:rRNA from 1 species
CCUACGGGAGGCAGCAGUGGGGAAUAUUGCACAAUGGGGGAAACCCUGAUGCAGCAACGCCGCGUGAGUGAAGAAGUAUUUCGGUAUGUAAAGCUCUAUCAGCAGGGAAGAAAAUGACGGUACCUGACUAAGAAGCCCCGGCUAACUACGUGCCAGCAGCCGCGGUAAUACGUAGGGGGCAAGCGUUAUCCGGAUUUACUGGGUGUAAAGGGAGCGCAGGCGGUGCGGCAAGUCAGAUGUGAAAACCCGGGGCUCAACCCCGGGACUGCAUUUGAAACUGUCGGACUAGAGUGCCGGAGAGGUAAGUGGAAUUCCUAGUGUAGCGGUGAAAUGCGUAGAUAUUAGGAGGAACACCAGUGGCGAAGGCGGCUUACUGGACGGUAACUGACGCUGAGGCUCGAAAGCGUGGGGAGCAAACAGGAUU